GACGAACGCUGGCGGCGCGCCUAACACAUGCAAGUCGAACGGAGCUUAGAGAGCUUGCUUUUUAAGCUUAGUGGCGAACGGGGUGAGUAACGCGUGAGUAACCUGCCCUAGAGUGGGGGACAACAGUUGGAAACGACUGCUAAUACCGCAUAAGCCCACGGUACCGCAUGGUACUGAGGGAAAAGGAUUUAUUCGCUUUAGGAUGGACUCGCGUCCAAUUAGCUAGUUGGUGAGGUAACGGCCCACCAAGGCGACGAUUGGUAGCCGGACUGAGAGGUUGAACGGCCACAUUGGGACUGAGACACGGCCCAGACUCCUACGGGAGGCAGCAGUGGGGGAUAUUGCACAAUGGGGGAAACCCUGAUGCAGCGACGCCGCGUGGAGGAAGAAGGUUUUCGGAUUGUAAACUCCUGUCGUUAGGGACGAUAAUGACGGUAC
rnacentral:rRNA from 1 species